rnacentral:lncRNA from 1 species
CAUAACGAGGAUUAAGGGCAUCAUGAGUAAUUAUUCGGAUGAGGUUAGUGAUACUGAAAAGCUAACAGAAAAGAAACCAAAAUAACAAUAAAAUUAUGUCACAAAGAAAAGAAAAAACUUAAGAAACAGAUUGAAUAUGACAAACAAAUGGAUGUCAUCAGUCGAAAAGGAGGUCUGGGGCAUAGUGAAUUGGAAGACAACUUUUCCAUAUCUCAAGUUCAGCUAUCUGAAUAUAAGUAGGCUCAGUUGGAGAAUGCUGUUGAUAUUAACAUUGAAAACUCAGAACUUAAAAAACAUAUCGGCAAAAGGCAAGAGUUUAUUUACAAAUGCCAGUCUUCUAUAAUCACUCAAGGCAGAAGAUAUGGACUUGUUGGGCCUAAUGGGUUAACUCUGUUAUGUCAUAUUGCUUCCAUAGCUCUGAAGAUUCAUCCUUCAAUUGCUGUUUUGCUGUGUGUGCAAUAAGUAUAGUCACAGAUGAUACACCAGCAGUGAGCAGUCUGAAAGCUGACAACAAUUAGCAUUACUGGAAAAAGCUUACAAAGCUUGAGAAAGAGCAGAUAAAAGGAAAUCUGAAGGCCACUGAAGGAUUAAGCCAAGUUUAUGAGGAAUUGCGGGCCAUUAUUGGUGGCGAUGCAGCUGAGCCCAAAGCUUGACGAAUCUUAUCAGGUCUUGGCUCUUGGGUUCACCGCUGAGAUGCAGAACCGACCGCCACCAAAAAUUUUAGCGGCGGUUGGCGGAUGCGUGUCUCCUUUGGCAGAGUACUUUAUUUGAAGCCUACUCUUCUAAUGUUGGUUAAACCUACCAGUCAUUUAGAUUUGAAUGCUGUCAUUUGGUUGGACAAUUAUUUACUUGGCUGGAAGAAAACUGAUCAUUGUAUAUCUCACGACCAAUCUAUCUUAGAUAAUGUCUCUACAGAUAUUAUUCACUUGGACAUGGGAAAACGUUGUUGGGUUUUCAGCACCAUACUGUUCCCAUCUGUCUGAUCCCUCUACUAUGAAAAUCAUCUCUACUAAUCAGACAUUACAAAAAGAUACAAGUAAACAUACAGACUUUUAUGUUUGUUACGCCCACUACGACCAGCAAAUUAGGUGCUUUCAGCAGUGUGAAGUGAAUUUGCUGUCACAUCAUGCUUCUUUUCCUGAUGACUUGAAAGCAACAUUGCACUAAAAAAGCCUUAAUGAGAUAUGGGAGUAGGAGCACCUCUUGAAAUCCUCCUUCCACUAAGUUACCCUAGCCCUGUUAAGGAUCAAGGACUGACGCCGAUUGUAUCAUCGCACCUUCAGGUUUGGAGUUUCGACGAGCUGUAGAGCUCUGUUUGUGGUUGUGGAGUGCUAGCGGCUUCUUUUCGUGCUUACGGGAUUAUCAUUCAUGAUUUGGUAUUAAUGCAGAGGAGACGUUGAAAAGAUGGACUCCACGUUCGGCCUAUCUUCUAUCAUCUUCCCCUUAUUCCAAAGGUUCGGCGGUGCGCGGAUCAUCAUUUGUUGUUGGUAACAUGUUUUCGUUAGUUAACCCGUUGGCUGCCACGUUUUUGUUCUCCCCU